AUUGAACGCUGGCGGCAGGCCUAACACAUGCAAGUCGAACGAGUGGCGGACGGGUGAGUAAUGUCUGGGAAACUGGAUUAUGGAGGGGGCUAAUUACUGGAAACAGUAGCUAAUACCGCGUACACUAGGAUGUGCCCAGCUGGGAUGAGCUUGUUGGUGGGGUAACGGCUCACCAAGGCGAUGAUCCCUAGCUGGUCUGAGAGGCUGACCAGCCACACUGGAACGGAGCAACGGCGCAGACUCCUACGGGAGGAAGCAUGGGGGAAGAUUGCACAAUGGGAGCAAGCCUGAUGCAGCCAUGCCGCGUGAAUGAAGAAGGCCUUCGGGUUGUAAAGUACUUUCAGUAGGGAGGCGUUACCCGCAGAAGAAGCACCGGCUAACUCCGUGCCAGCAGCCGCGGUAAUUC
rnacentral:rRNA from 1 species